GAGGGUAUAGUUCAGUGGUUAAGAAUGCAUGGUUAGGGUGCAUGAGGUCCUGGGUUCAAUCCCCAGUACCUUCA
rfam:Camelus ferus unplaced genomic scaffold scaffold1107, whole genome shotgun sequence.